GGCUGAGGCAGGAGAAUCCCUUGAACCCAGGAGGCAGAGGUUGCAGUGGGCCAAGAUCACACCACUGCACUCCAGUCUGGGUGAUAAAACGAGAUUCCGUCUCAAAAAAAAAAAAAAAACUGCCAAAACGCUUUUUGCAAAGUGGUUGUACCAUUUUAUAUUCUCACCACCAUGAAUGAAAGUUCCAAUUGCUAUAUUCUUGCCCUCAUUUGAUAAUAUUUUUAGUUUUAGCCAUUCUAAUGGAUAUAUAGUAAUAAUUUGAUGGUUUUAAUUUGCAUUUCUCUGAUGAUCAAUAACAUUAAGUUUUGAUUCAGGUACUUGUUGGGCACUCAUAUCUUUGGUGAAAUAUCUGUUCAAAUCAUUUGCUCUUUUUUUUUUCUUAGCACUUAAAAAAGACUUUUUGCCAGGCACAGUGGCACAUGCCUGUAGACCUAGCUACUCAGGAGGCUAAGACAGGAGGAUCACUUGAGUCCAGAAGUUCUGGGUUGUAGUGAGCUAUGUCAAUCAGGUGUUUGCACUAAGUUCAGCAUAAAUGUAGUGACCUCCUGGGUCACUGGGACCCAGAGUUGCCUAAGGAGCGUCAGAAGUGGAGCAGGUCAAAACUCCUGUGCUGAUCAGUAGUGGGAUCACACCUGUGAAUAGCCACUGCACUGCAGCCUGGGCAACAUAGUGAGAUCCUCAUCUCCUGAAAAAAAAAAAAAACUUUAGUUUUUAAAAGUAGUUUUAGGUUCUGAGCAAAAUUGAGAGGAGGGUACAGAAAUAACUUAUAUAUCCUCAGUGCUCCCCUCCCCCAUGCCUCCCUCAUCACCAUCCCCCAGCAGAGUGGCACAUUGGUUACAAUUGAUAAACCUACACUGACACAUCAUUAUCACCCAAAGCCUAUUGUUUCCAUUAGGGUUCACUCUUGGUGCUGUACAAUCUAUGGGUUUGAACAAAGGUACAAUGACAUGUAUCCAUCUUUAUAGUCAUGCAGAGUCUACACUGUCCUAAAAACCCUUGGCUCUGCCUCUUCGUCGUGUCCUCCCCACUGACCCCCGGCUACCACUGGUCUUUUCACUGUCUCCGUAAGUUUUUCCUUUUUCAGAACGCCAUAUAGUUGGAAUCAUAAAGUAUAUAUAGCCUUUUCACAUUGGUUUCUUUCACUGGAUAAUAUGCAUUUGUUUCCUCUAUGUCUUUUCACAGUUUGAUAGCUCAUUUCUUUUUAGCAUCGAGUAAUACUCCAUUGUCUGGGUGUACAACAGUUUAUCCAUUCACCUGCUGAAGGACAUCUUGGUUGAUUGCUUCCAAGUUUUGGCAAUUAUGAAUAAAAUUGCUAUAGAUAUCCAUGUGUAGGUUUUUGUGUCCAUUUAAGCUUUCAACUCCUUUGGGUAAAUACCAAAGAGCACAAUUGUUGGAUUGAAUGCUAAGAGAAUGUUUCGUUUUGUAAAAAACCACCAAACUGUCCUACAGAGAGGCUGUACCAUUUUGCAUUCCCACCAGCAGUGAAUAAGGGUUCCUAUUGCUCAACAUCCCUGUCAGCACUUGGUGUUAGUGUUCUGAAUUUUGGCCAUUCUAAAAGGUGUGUAGUGGUGUCUCACUUGUUUUGUGUUUUUCUCUGCUCAGACAGCUCAUCCACAUCACAUUUAUUUUAAUUUGCAUUUCCCUGAUAAUAUGUGAUAUGGAACAUCUAUUUACUCAUUAUUUUUUCUUCUUAUGAUUGAAGUUAUAAUAUUUCUUUAAAUAUUUUGGAUAAAUCUUUUGUCAGAUAUAUGCACUGGAAAUAUUUUUAUGGGGGACCAGUGUUAAGAUUAGAUCUGUUUAAAGAGAAAGGAGAGAAAGUUUCAGGCAGGGAAUGCAAUCGAUGUGAAGGUUUGGGGUAAUUUGUUUCAUUUAUCUUUAACACCAUGUUAUGGAUGGCAAAAUAACUUCACUGGCUUUUUUUAUCAAGAAAAGACUUACCUUUUCUGAAUGCAACAGUAUUAGUAAACCUAAUGGUGACAAUAAAAGCGAUUCUGAAUAAAUGAAAACCAAUAGAUUGUUCUAGUUUUACUCAUAAAUAUAAUUCUUCAUAUACUGAGUUCAGUUUUUUAGCCAUAAAUGAAGACAUGGGAAAACCAUAACAUGUUAUUUGCUGAGAAGUUCUGGCAAAUGAAGCAAUAAAAUAAUCAAAACUAAAUCAACAUUUAAAUACAGAACAUAAAGAGAUAAAUCCAAAACCAGAAGAUCUCUUUGAAAGAAAAACCUAAGUAAUUAAAAAACUGAAAGCACAGAUAUUCAUUAUUUCACAAAUAAACGUUAAUGCUUUUUAGACAUCUUUAAGCAACUUUAGAUUGCUAAAACUAAAAAAUGCAAUUAAGACAAUAAUCUUAUAUAUAGACAAUAAUUGUCUUAAUAAUAAUCAGCAUCAAAGAUUCUUAGAAAUGUUGGGAGACUGUGUGGCAAAGAAAGUACUUCAAUUACCAGUUACCAACACACAACAAUUUGAAAUAUCCAGGAAGAUCAACCCAUAGAACAAAGAAAGCUAAUAAAUUACCUUUUCUUGCAAUUGGUUUGAUGUACCAUUAAUAUAUAGAUAUUACUAAUAUGGCAAUUAGUUUAUAUGCUAUUUGAAUAUGAUAGUAAUAUGAAGGAAGAUUCUCUUUUUUCCACUUCAUUGCCAACAAACAGCUAACUCUAAACAACAGUAAAGUGUGGAAUAAAUUACUUUGUUAAUUAAUGUGGUUUGAAGCUUUGUAGGAAUCCAAUUGGAUGGAUAGCAGCAGUGGUAAGAGAACAUUCCGGAAUAAUUACCUAAAUUAAGGAGCUUGCCCUAGAAUGUAAAUCAACCUACUAUAUCUUUUUAUUUGAAAAAGUCUUGGUAGAAAAAGCAUAUCAACUGAACUGUACAGUGUGUUCAGUGACUUAGUAAAGAACAUAACUUGUGUAAAGGCUAAUGCAAUAAGUUUGAGAUUGUUCUCUUUAUGUAAUAGUUUGGAAAACAAACAACUGUGAUUACAUUUAGAGAUAUGAUGAUUAUCUAGAGGGAAAGUUCUGUUGAGCAUAUUUGAACAUUUAAUUAUUGCUGCAAGAAGCCAGUUUGGUCCCAGCUUUAUAAAGAUAUACAUUGGGCUGGGUGCGGUGGCUCAUGCCUGUAAUCCCAGCACUUUGGGAGGCCGAGGCAGGCGGAUCACCUGAGGUCAGAGGUUCGAGACCAGCCUGGCCAACAUGGUGAAACCCCAUCUCUACUAAAAAUACAAAAAUUAGCUGGGCGUGGUGGCACACACCUGUAUUCCUUGCUACUCGGGAGGCUAAGGCAGGAGAAUCGCUUGAACCCAGGAAGCAGAGGUUGCAGUGAGCCAAGAUUGUGCCACUGCACACCAGCCUGGAUAAAAAGAGUGAAACUCUGCCUCAAAAUAAAAUAAUAAAAUGAAAUAAAGAUAUAAAUUGGCCAGCUAGAGUUACCUGAAGUUACUAUCUUCAAUUAUCUGAAGACAGUUCUGAUAGCUUCAGAAUUCUUUCAUACAAGGCAGGAAUGCAACUUGUUUUUUAAUGGCAGAUAAAAUCAAAGAGCAAAAGCAAAAGGUAGAAGCUUGAAAGACCAGAGUUGCUACAGAUUGUUAUUACAUGUUCCAUAAUUUAACAAUUGUCAUUGAAGUUGGUGAUUGUCUUGAUAUUGCACAUCUGUAAGAAGUAAUCAAACUAUUGUGAAUUUGAUAGAAUGCUUUAAGUUUUAUUUUCCAACAAAAGAAUGUCUACAUACGGCAAAUUCAUAGAUCUGGAAUCCAUUUAUGUCAUCAAAAGAGGAUUUAAAUUUAAUUGUAAGCUUAUAUGAUACAUUGUUCUAACUGGCAACUAAUGAA
rnacentral:lncRNA from 1 species